rnacentral:rRNA from 1 species
UUCAUUGGCGCGUGUGCGCGUGCUGUGUGUGGGAAGCGUCCUUUUGUGGUUGCUCUCUGCGCGGCUCUGCGUGUGCUUGCUGGUGCCCUGUGUCUUGGUGGGACGUCAGAGUCAGUUCGUAUGCUGCGGGAAAUGGCUGUGGAGGAGGUAGGUCGGGGUUCGCCUCGGCUGUUAUAUCUCUGCGGCUAGUGGUCGUGGUUGGGACUGAGGUGCCUUACAACGUGCUUUUUUGGGGUCUGUCGGGUUCUCGUUUCUCAGUCUGUCUGGAUAGCUUGCUAUGCUGGCGGUUUUUGUGGAGGCGAUUGAGUCUGGUAGUAACCUUUAGCCGUUCGGGACUUUGACGAAAUGGAGCGAUUCGGCCCGUCUUGAAACACGGACCAAGGAGUCUAACAUGUGUGCAAGUGUUAGGGUGUGGAAACCCGAGCGCGUAAUGAAAGUGAAGGGUAGCUUUUCGCUGCCUGAGGUAGGAAACCCUUGUCCUUUUUGGGUCCGGGGUGGCACUAUCGACCGAUCAUGAGCCUUCGUGGCGAAAGAUUUGAGUAGGAGCACAUAUGUUGGUACCCGAAAGAUGGUGAACUAUG